AGAGUUUGAUCCUGGCUCAGAGCGAACGCUGGCGGCGUGCUUAACACAUGCAAGUCGAACGCGCAGCAUUCUGUAGCAAUACAGGGUGUGGGCGCGUGGCGAACGGGUGCGUAACACGUGGAUAACCUUCCUUGAGGUGGGGAAUAACCCAGUGAAAAUUGGGCUAAUACCGCAUAACAUCGCGAUGGCACAUGCUGAUGCGAUCAAAGGCGCAAGUCGCCACAAGAGGGAUCCGCGGCCGAUUAGCUUGUUGGCGAGGUAAUGGCUCACCAAGGCAAUGAUCGGUAGCCGGACUGAGAGGUUGGCCGGCCACACUGGAACUGAGACACGGUCCAGACUCCUACGGGAGGCAGCAGUGGGGAAUCUUGCACAAUGGACGAAAGUCUGAUGCAGCAACGCCGCGUGGGGGAUGAAGCUUCUCGGAGUGUAAACCCCUUUCGACCCGGAAGAAUGCCCGCAAGGGUAUGACGGUACGGGUAUAAGAAGCCCCGGCUAACUACGUGCCAGCAGCCGCGGUAAUACGUAGGGGGCCAGCGUUGCUCGGAAUUACUGGGCGUAAAGGGUCCGUAGGCGGUGUAGCAAGUCGAUAGUGAAAUCUCUGGGCUUAACCCAGAGGCCGCUAACGAAACUGCUGUGCUAGAGUGUGAGAGAGGCGAGUGGAAUUACGGGUGUAGCGGUGAAAUGCGUAGAUAUCCGUAGGAACAUCCGAGGCGAAGGCGGCUCGCUGGAUCACAACUGACGCUGAGGGACGAAAGCUAGGGGAGCAAACAGGAUUAGAUACCCUAGUAGUCC
rnacentral:rRNA from 1 species